AACAACCUCAAUUCUGCUGCCCCGGCCAUGAGUUUAUCCCCAGUCUGCCUAGCUUAGGCUUCUCCGGGUGGACGUCUGGUGGGGUCUGGCUGGACUCAGCUCCCGCUUCCCCCUCAUCACCUCCCUGUGCUUCCUCCUGGACAACCUCCUCAGCAUCCACAGAAGCCUGGUCUGCAAAUUCAGCUCCCUCCUCCUCUUUGAGGCUGUGCUAGGAUACCUGCUAAGACUGGCCCACAGACUGGUAGUGUAUAGAGCCCAACAUCCCUCCCAUCACUCAGUUUUAGGCUAGUCUGUGUAUCAGUCUGUUUAGCUAUCAUGCCACUCCUGUCAUGCUGAACGCCACCUUUCACAUAUGACAUGGAGUACAAGGACUGGAAUGUUAGCCAAACAGACUGGUACCUAGUGCUCUUGUGGUGACCACAUUAUCGCCACACAGGUAGACAUAAGUCUAAAGUCUAAACACUCUAAAGUUUCUAAAACUGUUAGAAUGGUGUCUGUGAGUAUAACAGAACUCAUAUGGUAGGCAAAAACCUGAGAAGAUUCCAAGCAGGAAGUGGCCUGUCUGACAAUUUGUAGUCCUUCUGUUGCAUCUCUAUCAAAAUUAC
rnacentral:lncRNA from 8 species